GUGUGCAUCAGCGAAUCCAUAAAGCUGUGAAAUAAGCAAUGUUCCUGACCGGUAAGUAAGGAAAUAGUAAAAUGUACAUAUGGAAAGUGAAGAGGACCGUCUAUGACGAGGUUGGUGGUGGGACUCUUCAAACUUUCCUAUUAAUAAUUUUUAGUUGCAGCUAUUCUUUCAGUUCAAUGGGAAAUGACAUGUAUAAAAGUAAAUUUGCUUCAUUUAUUUCCACUGACUAGUAUCAAAGACAAAAACCAAGCUGUAUGAAGCAAGGAAAGAAAGCAAGUAUUCGAAAUGGUUGGAUACAGAUAAGUAACUAACAUACACACAUUUACAGUCUUAUUGUAUACAAGUUGAUUACAAUUCGUUCUAACUUUUUCUGACAGGUUCUAUGACCAGAAACUAUAAUCGAAAGGGGUCAGCGAUACUGCAACAAAAUAUUUAUCAGAGAUAGGGAACACUCGUAAUGGGUUCUUCAGGAUACUUAGAUGAAACUAGAGUGUACAGCAUGAUACUUCAAGACAUGUAUUUGUCGUCCGACAAUUGUAUUAAUUGAAAAUCACCAUAUAUGCGUAAAAGAAAGAAAGU